AACAUUUCCAAGGCCACACAUGUGUCACAGCCACAGGUUUCGGCCGCAAUGCAUCCCGUCUUCUCCGGCGCCGCUGCCGCCGCCGCCGCCGUCAGAAAUGAAGGCACGCCGACUCCAGCAGCCUCCUCCAGUGCUUGAGCGCCGUCCCCUACCUCCUCCCACGGAGUCGAGCCCCCAUCAGCCGAGUGCCUCCCCCGGCCCGACCUGCUUCAGCCACCGGAUUUGACCCUCACCGCUUCCGACCUUGCUUGCAGCAGCUUCUAAUUUCAAGACUGCUUUCUACGAAGCUGAAGACAUCUUGGAUGAUGUUGAGUAUCAUCGCCUCGAGAAGCAGGUCCAAGAUUACGAGCUCAGCUCAGACGGGCCUCCAAGUACCAUGGAUUUGCUGAAGCACAAGGUCCAGUCCCUGGCCGUCUUCCCCCUAACAAAUAAGGUCGUUUGCCAUCCUCAAGCUUUUCUGUUUUCAGAUUUCUCUCUCGCCCUCAAAACUUAUCGUGUAUAAAAUGUUCCAAACUUGUUCUUUUACUGAACCACUGCUCCCACUGAAGUAUAACUACGUGUUGAGUUGUUAGUGACA